UACGUAGGGCGCAAGCGUUGUCCGGAAUUAUUGGGCGUAAAGAGCUCGUAGGCGGACUGUCACGUCUGCUGUGAAAAGCUAGGGCUUAACCCUGGCCUUGCAGUGGAUACGGGCAGACUAGAGGUAGGUAGGGGAGAAUGGAAUUCCCGGUGUAGCGGUGGAAUGCGCAGAUAUCAGGAGGAACACCAAUAGCGAAGGCAGCUCGCUGGGACGUUACUGACACUGGAGGCGCGAAAGCGUGGGGAGCGAACAGG
rnacentral:rRNA from 1 species